GGACGCCAGUCUGCAUGGAGCCGACCUUGAAAUACCACCCUUUAAUGUUUGAUGUUCUAACGUGGACCCGUAAUCCGGGUUGCGGACAGUGUCUGGUGGGUAGUUUGACUGGGGCGGUCUCCUCCUAAAGAGUAACGGAGGAGCACGAAGGUUGGCUAAUCCUGGUCGGACAUCAGGAGGUUAGUGCAAUGGCAUAAGCCAGCUUGACUGCGAGCGUGACGGCGCGAGCAGGUGCGAAAGCAGGUCAUAGUGAUCCGGUGGUUCUGAAUGGAAGGGCCAUCGCUCAACGGAUAAAAGGUACUCCGGGGAUAACAGGCUGAUACCGCCCAAGAGUUCAUAUCGACGGCGGUGUUUGGCACCUCGAUGUCGGCUCAUCACAUCCUGGGGCUGAAGUAGGUCCCAAGGGUAUGGCUGUUCGCCAUUUAAAGUGGUACGCGAGCUGGGUUUAGAACGUCGUGAGACAGUUCGGUCCCUAUCUGCCGUGGGCGCUGGAGAACUGAGGGGGGCUGCUCCUAGUACGAGAGGACCGGAGUGGACGCAUCACUGGUGUUCGGGUUGUCAUGCCAAUGGCACUGCCCGGUAGCUAAAUGCGGAAGAGAUAAGUGCUGAAAGCAUCUAAGCACGAAACUUGCCCCGA
rnacentral:rRNA from 2 species